rnacentral:lncRNA from 1 species
GAAAUUUUGGCCAGAAUUUACCAGAAACAGAAUACUGGAGUUGAAGAAAAAGAAGAAAGGAAGUGAGCCACAUUUAUAGGCUUCAUUCCACGAGAGCGCAUUUUGAAGACAAAAGUAGCAAAAGCAACCUGCCAAGCGGACAAACAGGAUCCUUGUUCUCUAUGUCAUUGCCCAGGCUGAACUUGAACUCCUGGGCUCAAGCAAUCCUCCAGCUUCAGCCUCUUGAGUAACUGAGACUACAGGUGCAUGCCACCAUGUCUGGCUUAAUCCUCACCUUUUAAAGCAGCUUUAAGGUAAGAGGAAAACUAGGAAUACUUAUGCUGGAAAAAUUGCUGCAUAAUCGUUAUGUCAAUGUUAUAAAUGACAAGAUGGGUUUGCUUACAUGCUCGUAACACAUGCUUGGAGGUUGGAGAACCUGAAAGAGCACUGUGAUAAUAGCUUACUGAGAAUUCUUGUCUGAGCUUUGAUGCUAGAAUCGAAAGCCAAGGACAUCAUCUUCAAU